CUGUAAAACGCUCUUCACGUUGUGUACUAAGUGACACAUUAUCCUUUGAUUGCCACCCACAGAUCAGGACAGUUUCUGUAUGUUUUGGAUUCUUCAGUAAGUAAUGUUGGCAGGCUGACAAUUCCAGCCAUGACUAAACUAGGGAACAUUUUCACUUUCUUAUCCCCGGUCUUGGCGGUGACCAUAGCUGUGGUACUCUUCUGUCUCUAUCGGCACGCAAGAAAGAAAAGAGCCAUCUAUGACGUCACCGUAGAGACAACAGAAGAUGGCAACACAUCUUCGGUGGUCCACACAAUAUCUUUGCCUGAUGAUCAGGCAGAAGACAGCAUACAUUAUGACAGAUUCCCUCCUCGGUACAGCACUGUGGAUCUUCCACCACCGUACUCACUGUUUGACCCCAAGCUGACAAGCGUAUGGCCGGGGGGCCCGCCACCUGCCUACGAGAUGUACCCUAUAACGCUGCCUCUGGCGCUUCAUCACUGGACGACACCCGCAGGAGCCUCGCAGCCAACCGCACCGUCCUCACCGAGCACCCAUAACCACCCACAGAGGUCACGCCAGACAUCCAGCAGC